UACGGGGGGGGCAAGCGUUGUUCGGAAUUACUGGGCGUAAAGGGCGCGUAGGCGGCCAUCUAAGUCAGACGUGAAAUCCCUCGGCUCAACCGAGGAACUGCGUCUGAUACUGGAAGGCUUGAAUCCGGGAGAGGGAUGUGGAAUUCCAGGUGUAGCGGUGAAAUGCGUAGAUAUCUGGAGGAAUACCGGUGGCGAAGGCGGCAUCCUGGACCGACAUUGACGCUGAGGAGCGAAAGCUAGGGGAGCAAACGGG
rnacentral:rRNA from 1 species